UGUGUGUGUGUGUGUGUGUGUGUGUGUGUGUGUGUGUGUAAGAAUAUUCAGAGCCUUGCUGUGUGCAUAUUGCUGCAGAGGCAGGUAGGUAGAAAGCACACAGAGAAUGAACCGUGUGUUUCAGCGGAGCAGACGGCCAGCCAGCAGACAGCCGAGAUAAGUGACUGCAGGGCUUUUGCAGCUCUGGCUUUGAUUUGGAGCCAUUUCUCCAAUGUGACUUGAGUGGACUAGCUGAACUAAGAUGUGAUCUCCUCCAGAAGAUUGCACAAUCUCGUUGCUGCUGCUAUGCUUGUAAAAAGUCUAAAAACACUUUGCAUUUAUCUUGUUUCGUUUUCUUGCUUAGUUGGCAUUUUUUAUUUGGGAACAAUAUGCAUAAUUUUUGGUACAAGACAUUGAAAUGCUUCUAUUUUUAAUUCCUCUGUCGGACGCUUUAUAAUUUCAUUCAUAAAUUAUCUGUUUCUGCUCUCAAUAAGUCUGGUCCACAAAACUAUGUCCCUGAUUUCACUUCUUCAAUACCACAUACAAGAAGUUGAUGUUGUAUGAUUGAACAGCAAAACUACAAAAUCACUAUAGCAAUGCAAUAAAAACUCUCCUUCUUUA